rnacentral:rRNA from 1 species
GACGAACGCUGGCGGCGUGCUUAACACAUGCAAGUCGAACGGAAAGGCCCUGCUUUUGUGGGGUGCUCGAGUGGCGAACGGGUGAGUAACACGUGAGUAACCUGCCCUUGACUUUGGGAUAACUUCAGGAAACUGGGGCUAAUACCGGAUAGGAGCUCCUGCUGCAUGGUGGGGGUUGGAAAGUUUCGGCGGUUGGGGAUGGACUCGCGGCUUAUCAGCUUGUUGGUGGGGUAGUGGUUUACCAAGGCUUUGACGGGUAGCCGGCCUGAGAGGGUGACCGGCCACAUUGGGACUGAGGUACGGCCCAGACUCCUACGGGGGGCAGCAGUGGGGAAUAUUGCACAAUGGGCGGAAGCCUGAUGCAGCAACGCCGCGUGCGGGAUGACGGCCUUCGGGUUGUAAACCGCUUUCGCCUGUGACGAAGCGUGAGUGACGGUAAUGGGUAAAGAAGCACCGGCUAACUACGUG